rnacentral:rRNA from 1 species
CAGUAGCCGCGGUAAUACGUAGGUGGCAAGCGUUGUCCGGAAUGAUUGGGCGUAAAGGGCGCGCAGGCGGCUGUGUAAGUCUGUCUAGAAAGUGCGGGGCUAAACCCCGUGAGAGGAUGGAAACUGGACAGCUGAGAGUGUCGGAGAGGAAAGCGGAAUUCCUAGUGUAGCGGUGAAAUGCGUAGAUAUUAGGAGGAACACCGGUGGCGAAAGCGGCUUUCUGGACGACAGCUGACGCUGAGGCGCGAAAGCCAGGGGAGCAAACGGGAUUAGAUACCCGCGUAGUCCCUGUCUCUUAUAC